rnacentral:rRNA from 1 species
GACGAACGCUGGCGGCGUGCUUAACACACGCAAGUCGAACGGAAAGGCCCUGCUUUUGUGGGGUGCCCGAGUGGCGAACGGGUGAGUAACACGUGAGUAACCUGCCCUUGACUUUGGGAUAACUUCAGGAAAGCGGGGCUAAUACCGGAUAGGAGCUCCUGCUGCAUGGUGGGGGUUGGAACGUUUCGGCGGUUGGGGAUGGACUUGCGGCUUAUCAGCUUGUUGGUGGGGUAGCGGCUUACCAAGGCAUUGAUGGAUAGCCCGCCUGAGAGGGUGACCGGCCACAUUGGUACUAAGGGACGGCCCAGACGCGUACAGGAGGCAACGGUGGAGAGUAUUGCACAAUGAUCGGAAGCCUGAUACAGCAACGCCGCGUGCGUGAUGACGUCCUUCGGGUUAGGAACCGCUUUCGCCUAUGACGAAGCGUGUUUGACGUUAAUGGGUAAAGAAGCACCGGCUAACUACGUG